rnacentral:rRNA from 1 species
UACGUAGGGUGCAAGCGUUGUCCGGAAUUAUUGGGCGUAAAGAGCUCGUAGGCGGUCUGUCGCGUCGGCUGUGAAAACCCGGAGCUCAACUCCGGGCCUGCAGUCGAUACGGGCAGACUGGAGUUCGGCAGGGGAGACUGGAAUUCCUGGUGUAGCGGUGAAAUGCGCAGAUAUCAGGAAGAACACCGGUGGCGAAGGCGGGUCUCUGGGCCGUAACUGACGCUGAGGAGCGAAAGCGUGGGGAGCGAACAGG